ACGAACGCUGGCGGCGUGCCUAAUACAUGCAAGUAGAACGCUGAAGAGAGGAGCUUGCUCUUCUUGGAUGAGUUGCGAACGGGUGAGUAACGCGUAGGUAACCUGCCUUGUAGCGGGGGAUAACUAUUGGAAACGAUAGCUAAUACCGCAUAACAAUGGAUGACACAUGUCAUUUAUUUGAAAGGGGCAAUUGCUCCACUACAAGAUGGACCUGCGUUGUAUUAGCUAGUAGGUGAGGUAACGGCUCACCUAGGCGACGAUACAUAGCCGACCUGAGAGGGUGAUCGGCCACACUGGGACUGAGACACGGCCCAGACUCCUACGGGAGGCAGCAGUAGGGAAUCUUCGGCAAUGGGGGCAACCCUGACCGAGCAACGCCGCGUGAGUGAAGAAGGUUUUCGGAUCGUAAAGCUCUGUUGUAAGUCAAGAACGAGUGUGAGAGUGGAAAGUUCACACUGUGACGGUAGCUUACCAGAAAGGGACGGCUAACUACGUGCCAGCAGCCGCGGUAAUACGUAGGUCCCGAGCGUUGUCCGGAUUUAUUGGGCGUAAAGCGAGCGCAGGCGGUUUGAUAAGUCUGAAGUUAAAGGCUGUGGCUCAACCAUAGUUCGCUUUGGAAACUGUCAAACUUGAGUGCAGAAGGGGAGAGUGGAAUUCCAUGUGUAGCGGUGAAAUGCGUAGAUAUAUGGAGGAACACCGGUGGCGAAAGCGGCUCUCUGGUCUGUAACUGACGCUGAGGCUCGAAAGCGUGGGGAGCGAACAGGAUUAGAUACCCUGGUAGUCCACGCCGUAAACGAUGAGUGCUAGGUGUUGGAUCCUUUCCGGGAUUCAGUGCCGCAGCUAACGCAUUAAGCACUCCGCCUGGGGAGUACGACCGCAAGGUUGAAACUCAAAGGAAUUGACGGGGGCCCGCACAAGCAGUGGAGUAUGUGGUUUAAUUCGAAGCAACGCGAAGAACCUUACCAGGUCUUGACAUCCCGAUGCUAUUUCUAGAGAUAGAAAGUUACUUCGGUACAUCGGUGACAGGUGGUGCAUGGUUGUCGUCAGCUCGUGUCGUGAGAUGUUGGGUUAAGUCCCGCAACGAGCGCAACCCCUAUUGUUAGUUGCCAUCAUUCAGUUGGGCACUCUAGCGAGACUGCCGGUAAUAAACCGGAGGAAGGUGGGGAUGACGUCAAAUCAUCAUGCCCCUUAUGACCUGGGCUACACACGUGCUACAAUGGUUGGUACAACGAGUUGCGAGUCGGUGACGGCAAGCUAAUCUCUUAAAGCCAAUCUCAGUUCGGAUUGUAGGCUGCAACUCGCCUACAUGAAGUCGGAAUCGCUAGUAAUCGCGGAUCAGCACGCCGCGGUGAAUACGUUCCCGGGCCUUGUACACACCGCCCGUCACACCACGAGAGUUUGUAACACCCGAAGUCGGUGAGGUAACCUUUUGGAGCCAGCCGCCUAAGGUGGGAUAGAUGAUUGGGGUG
rnacentral:rRNA from 1 species